rnacentral:lncRNA from 1 species
UGGAUGGUCAGUCCUUACAUCCAAAGCUUGGUCUAUGAAUUUGAGAGUGGUUACAUUUCUGCAGCUCCAUCCCUCAGAUGUUUAUUACCAAAACCUUCUUUAACCCAUUCCACUGCUCCUCCACAUAACUGCAUAACUUCCUGUCUGUAAUCACUCAGUGACUGCGACAAAGGCAUUUGUGUCUGUCAGGCAAGACGUCAAAUGUCAAACCAGCGGACUCUACCCUGUCUCCAUCCCUUUGUCUCUCUCUCUCUCUCUCUCUCUCUCUCUCUCGCACUCUCUUGCUCUCCCAUACUUAUUUUAUGCACACUCUAUCUCCUUCCUUUCCUCCUUCCUCUCUCAGCUUGCCAGGGGCAGGACACAGACUCCCUUGUUUUCCUGAUGGCUUGUUGUCAAGAGCUCCAUACUGUGGUUCAGCCUGUCAGAAUGAAACACAUUGAGCACCGGCACAUUCCAAGAUGACACGUUUAUUGGUCUACAAAGUAGUUGUUUUAACAAAAGCAUGGGAAAAGAAAACGUUUGAAGAGGAAGAGAGCACAACUAGUGGAAUUACUCCUUUAAUGCACACAAACAAAACAUGCUCUAAUGCAAAAUGUUAAAAUUCUCCAUGAAUGACUCAAUUUGGUUUCAUUCAGUUAGGAAAUAGUGUAUAAUAAGUCUGCGUGUCCCAAAUAACACACUAUUCCCGACAUAGUUCCCUACAUUUCACCAGUUGAAAGUAGUGCUCUAUAUAAAGGAAUAGAUUGCCCUUUGGGACACAGCCAGAGUUGUAUUGCUCCUGUGGGACUGGUUAUAUGCAGGAUCCUCUGUUGAAAACCCAGAAUAGAGAAUGAACCUGUUAACCAGGGAUCUUCUUUCCUGAGUCAGUCAGUCAGACAGAAACAACCCUUUACAUAUUGUAGCAGACAGGCUUCUUUUACACUUCAUAAUAAACAAUAAACUUCUCAUCCUAACUCCUCAUCUGAUGUCAAUUGUUGAGAGAACAACUUGGUCAGAGUUAACUUUAUAGAUGUCUUGUAAUUCAAAAGUGUUCAUCUUUUAGUAUUUAAUAGGCACUGUUUAAAAAGGAAAAUGACCUUGUUCUUGACUCUUUAGAAAUGAAAAGGGAAACCGAUUGUACACACACACACAUCAACAACAGCACAACCUAACCUACAUAGGACACUCCAUAAUAACUACAGUUUGCUUUUCCAAAAAAGCUAUAAUAAUUACUGCAUCCCAAAUGGCACCCUAUUCCCUAUGUACCAUAGUGCACUACUUUGAACCAGGGCCCAUAGAGCUCUAGUCAAAAGAAGUGUCACUUGUAAGGAAUAGGGUACCAUUUGGUACAUAACCAUUGACUUGGGCCUUUUCCUUCCAACAGCAGUGUAAUGCUUCACUAGGUUAUAACACAGCUGGUAGAAAGAACAAAAAGACAUCACAUAUUUUGACAAGUCUAAAAACAAAAACUAGGAAAACCUAUAAUCUUGGCUUCUCAGAUAUACAAUAUGCUCACAUAGUACUUGUUUUCAACAACCAGACCAGGGUUCAAUUACUACUUGAAAUCUUUCAAAAACGUUCAGAGUUUGCUCUAGUCUAGUCUGCCUGGAGUGCCUGAUGGGCGGGGCUUGCAGUCCGUGUGACUAUUCUAUUGGUUCCAUUGUGCCAGUCGAGCCAAGAUAAAGUAUUUGAAACGAUAUCAAAUAGUAUUUCAACCCAGGUCUGUCAACAACACAAGCGUACCGAAACGCUUUGCCUAUAAAGCACUUAUAGACACAUUCUCAUGUAAAAACCAAACCAACAAGGCCAUGUUCAAAAUAUGUACAAAGUCCGAAGGCAUGUUAACAUCAGAUUAUAAUCAGGGAGCAAUGACAUUCAGUUCAAACCAAAAGUCUUCCAUGUUUUUCUGCUGUUUUUCUGAGGCCAGUGUAGGUCAGAGUAGGUUGAAUGGUAUUGGUGUUGUGGCAGGCUGCAGCUGUAGACCCAAGGGCUGAGUUCAAACAAACACUGCAGGUAUUUCACAUUGUGGAGAAGUCCUGGUAGCUCCUGUGUUCCAGCAAUACACCAUCUCAUUCAAAUCCAAUCACAGUAACUAAUUUCAAUCAAAUCCAAACCUGAUUUCUUCCAAUUACCAUUGACUGAUUAAUCAGUAUUUAUGCAGUUUUUUAUGGCAAAAGACCAAUGUAACAUUUUGUCUGUACUGCAUGUUUGCUUGAAUGCCAGUCCUAUUAGAGGAGUUAGGAUCAUGAGACACAGAGUCACAAAACAAGCCUUUCUAGGGGCUUAGUCAGUAGGAUGCACCAUUUACUAGGCUGUUGCAGAUAGAGAUAUGAGGUAAUGACAAGUUACCAUUUCCUAUUUCACAUUACAGACAGACAUGACUGUUAUACACAAUGUAUUUCUAUGUUAACGUUGUUGUGCCCCUCCGGAAUAAGCCCCCGCCCCAUGUUGUGAAUCAGGAAGUCUUUGUGUUAUCUCCCUCCCCCGUUCUUCCUGGAUAUGCAGCGCCAUGGGAGUGAGUGACCUCUCAAGUUGACCCCUGGACCACAACUGACAGGCUGAACCACAGGAGAGAUGCUAGAGUGACAUGUAACAGGCUGAACCACAGGAGAGAUGCUAGAGUGACAUGUAACAGGCUGAACCACAGGUGAGAUGCUAGAGUGACAUGUAACAGGGGGA